CCUACGGGAGGCAGCAGUGAGGAAUAUUGGUCAAUGGACGAGAGUCUGAACCAGCCAAGUAGCGUGAAGGAUGAAUGCACUAUGUAUUGUAAACUUCUUUUGUAAGGGAAUAAAGUGAGGCACUUGUGCCUUUUUGCGGGUACUUGAUGAAUAAGCAUCGGCUAACUCCGUGCCAGCAGCCGCGGUAAUACGGAGGAUCCGAGCGUUAUCCGGAUUUAUUGGGUUUAAAGGGAGCGUAGGUGGGUUGUUAAGUCAGUUGUGAAAGUUUGCGGCUCAACCGUAAAAGUGCAAUUGAGACUGGCAGUCUUGAGUACAGUUGAGGUAGGCGGAAUUCGUGGUGUAGCGGUGAAAUGCUUAGAUAUCACGCAGAACCCCGAUUGCGAAGGCAGCUUACUAAACUGUGACUGACAUUGAUGCUCGAAAGUGUGGGUAUCAAACAGGAUUAGAUACCCGAGUAGUC
rnacentral:rRNA from 1 species